AACCCCUGGCAAUGGGCAAAGAGACACCUUGUUGGUUGGUGGUGUUGUCCUUAUAUCCGUCAGGGGCAGAGAAGGUGGCAGCCCUUUAUUCAUCCAACUUGAUGCCUGGCUUGGUGGCCAAAGCCAUCUUAUGCCUAGGAUUCAUAA